AACGAACGCUGGCGGCAUGCCUAACACAUGCAAGUCGAACGAGACCUUCGGGUCUAGUGGCGCACGGGUGCGUAACGCGUGGGAACCUGCCCUUAGGUUCGGACUAACUCCCCGAAAGGGGUGCUAAUACCGGAUAAUGUCUUCGGACCAAAGAUUUAUCGCCUUUGGAUGGGCCCGCGUUGGAUUAGCUAGUUGUUAGGGUAAAAGCCUACCAAGGCGACGAUCCAUAGCUGGUCUGAGAGGAUGAUCAGCCACACUGGGACUGAGACACGGCCCAGACUCCUACGGGAGGCAGCAGUGGGGAAUAUUGGAAAAUGGGCGAAAGCCUGAUCCAGCAAUGCCGCGUGAGUGAUGAAGGCCUUAGGGUUGUAAAGCUCUUUUACCCGGGAUGAUAAUGACAGUACCGGGAGAAUAAGCUCCGGCUAACUCCGUG
rnacentral:rRNA from 1 species